UUGGGUGGGGCUGGUAUUUGGCAAGAAUGGCAUCUAAAAACUAUCAACCAGUGGAGAGAAGUAGUCAUUCCACAGUAAAGGUAGGAGACUACCUAUAUAUGUGGGGUGGGUUUGGGUUUGCAGUACACUAUGAUGUGAUGGAGGUGUAUCACUUAGCAACUGGUGCUUGGGCAGUGGCGUAUCCAAGUUAAAAAUUUAAGAUAUCUCCAAUCUUGAUCAAGGCCAGAGAACACAAUAAAUAAAGAAAACACUCAAAAAGAACUUUAGAGAAGAAAAGAGCAAGCCGAGCUAGUCCGAUAUAGUCGACUUCAUCAUCAUUAUUGUGGGCGUAGACGUACUUUAAUUAAAGACACGCCCAUUGUGAAUAUUAAUUAACCACAAAAAUUUUUUCGGCGCGCUUCGCGCGCCAUUUUUGCCCCACCAUCAUCUACAGUCUAGAUACGCCACUGUGCUUGGGAACAGAAACCUACUACUGGUACCCCACCACCAGGUACCAGUGGGUAUUCAUCUGUCGCUAUUGGGAAGGACAUAUAUUUUUUUGGUGGACUUGGUGGUGGUUAUCAAAACAGCUUACAUUGUUUCAAUGUGGAUUCAUUCAAGUGGAGGGAACUCUCUCCUUCUAGUUCUGAUCAUGGUCCAAUGAAGAAGGGCUACUGUGGAAUCGUGUUAGCUCAUUUUGACAGUGAAGACUACCUUGUAAUAAUCGGAGGACUGGGAUCAUCUUCUAUCAAUACUCCAAAGCAAUCUGAUGCUCAGUAUUCAGCUCAUGGUGGUUGUAAUGAGAUUGAUUAUUAUAGGAUUUCAUCAGAUCAAUGGAUAUCUCCUGUUGUUACUGGAGACAGACCACCUCCUAUUAGUUCCUUCACUCUAACACCAGUUACUAAUAACACUGCAGUAAUGUUCGGAGGCAAUACUGAUAAUGGAGAGAGUAGUAAACUGUAUAUGAUAAGUUUCACUAAGACAUCAGUGGAUAUAUUAGAAGUACCUAAUCCUGGAGGAUCAGUAC